rnacentral:sRNA from 1 species
ACGAGUGCUUUGUGUGGCGACUGGACGAGUUUAACGGCAAAUGAAAACGAAAAAUUGACAGUUGUGCCUGAAAAGCGAAACGCGAAACACGUCUGCUCAACGAAACGGAAAUAAUCGCAGUGAAAUAAUAAAAUUUUGUUGAGAAAUUGUGAAUUUUUGCUGUUACAUAUUAACCGUUAUGUGUGCGAAAACUUUGUAAAUUGCAAACGAAAAUAAUUGUUGGUGUUUAAAGAAAGCUGUCUUGAGUUGAAGUGACGUACGUGCCAACAACAAAUGUUCAGUUGUGGGCAUAGAUUUAUCAACAGCAGAUACUACUACUCAAUAUACGCCAGCAAGCGUAAAUAAAAAAUAAAAAUAAAUAAAAACACUCAAAUAAUAAAAAACAACAAAAAAUACCAUAACAACAAAGUCAACAAAAGCAUCUGUGGCAAAAGUCAACAGCAAUCAGUGCGUUCAGUGGGGUCAAUGACGAGAACGUCUCAUUGAAUUUGUGAACUACUAAAUUUUCAGGCGGUCCAGAAA